CCCUUCCUUCGUAGAGCCCAUGUAUUGUAAGUGAUCCGAACCUGCCCAAAGCGAGCCUCCCAUGAUAAAA